rnacentral:rRNA from 1 species
AGCGAACGUUUGCGGCGGGCCUAACACAUGCAAGUCGAACGCACUAGCAAUAGUGAGUGGCGCACGGGUGCGUAACACGUGGGUAAUCAACCCUUCAGCCUGGGAUAACGACUCGAAAGGGUCGCUAAUACCGGAUACGGCGCGAGAGGCUUCGGCUUCUCACGAGAAAGCCACGCAAGGGGCACUGAAGGACGAGCCUGCGGCCUAUCAGCUAGUUGGUGAGGUAAGAGCUCACCAAGGCUAAGACGGGUAGCUGGUCUGAGAGGAUGAUCAGCCACACUGGAACUGAGACACGGUCCAGACUCCUACGGGAGGCAGCAGUGGGGAAUAUUGCGCAAUGGGCGAAAGCCUGACGCAGCCACGCCGCGUGAGCGAUGAAGGCCUCGGUCGUAAAGCUCUGUGGGAGAGACGAAGAAGACCUGUGAAGAGCAGGCCUUGACGGUAGUCU